AGAUGAAGGUGUGAAUAUCUUAAACCUCAAAGCCAUAUCGCCGCUGAUACCCGCAUCCCUCCCUCCUUCCAUCCAUCAUCUUCUGCAACUGCAACUCUGCAAGUGUGUGGUUGUAAAGUAAUCAGAGAGGGAGUGGCUACAAACCUACAACCCUACAACCUACAAACAAGAAGGGAAGAUGGGAGAAAUUACAGCGAAACUCCAAGGAGCUGCCCUGUUGGUUGUAACAUAUGUUUCUUUGUUUGUUUACUGUAUUUAGUUUCUUACUACUUCCUGGUGGUGUUGAUAGUUUCAUUUAUGUACAAAGUUACAUCAGAAGUCAAACAACACUAGGACUGUGAUUUCUGUUCUUUACUUAUCACCAUUUCCAGUUAAUGGGUUCUUGGGAAUCAUACAACCAGAAAAUGGUGAGGUGAUGCAAUAGAAUUGUGCUUGACUCUAUCAUCUAUUUUCCUUGCGUUCCAUCCCCAUUCCCAUUCCCAUUCUCAUAUACCAGUUCCAUGACAGUUCACAGAUGAGUGGGUCUGGGUGUCUCAGAUCCUUGAUGCUCACUCUAAACCAAUUCCCUGAGCCUCUGUUUUCCCAUCGCUUCCUGCGUCAUUUCAGAAACCAACUCACUCUCACAACCAAACCCACCUCAUUUAUCAAUCCUCACAAGUGCUUUUGUGGGAAUGUCACAAGGUUGAGCUCGGCAGAAUAUAGUAACGCAGCAGCGAAAGCCCAUAUCUUCGAUGGUAGUCUAGUUCAUCAAAAUGAAAGCAAUCCAAAGGGGAUUGAAUUCCUGCAUUCGGUGGAAGCACAUUGCGUUCGUGCUAAUUGUCAGACUUAUGUUUGGCUUUUAAAAGGGUGCUCAAGUUCUGGGUCCUUUUUAGAUUCUAAGAAGCUUCACUCUACGAUUCUGAAGCUGGGUUUUGAUGCAGAACAGGUAAUAUGUGAUGGCCUCACUGAUGCUUAUCUUGCCUGUGGUGAUUUAGAUGGUGCGGUUAAGGUUUUCGAUGACAUGCCCCACAGAAGUUCAUUUUCAUGGAAUAACAUAAUUCGUGGGUUUCUUGCAAAGAAGUUGACCAGCCAUGUAUUGGAUCUCUUUUCUCGAAUGAUAGCAGAUAAUGUGCAUCCUGAUGAGACCACGUUUGCCUGGGUUUUAAGGGCAUGUGGUGGGGGUAAUGUCCGUUUCCAAUAUGUUGAACAGAUUCAUACAAGGAUUAUUUGUCAUGGUUUUGGUACUAAUUUGCUCGUAUGUAAUCCCUUAAUUGAUUUGUAUGCCAAAAACGGGUAUGUGGAUUAUGCUAAAAAGGUCUUUGAUAAAUUAUAUCUAAGGGAUAGUGUUUCUUGGGUGGCCAUGAUUUCCGGUCUAUCUCAGAAUGGACGGGAAAAAGAAGCAGUUCUCUUAUUCAUUCAGAUGCAAACAUCAGGAAUUUUACCCACUCCUUAUGUAUUCUCAAGUGUACUAAGUGCCUGCACCAAAAUAGAGUUAUUUGAGAUGGGAGCACAGCUGCACGGCCUUAUUUUCAAGGGGGGAUUUUCUUGUGAAACAUAUGUAUGCAAUGCACUGGUGACAUUAUAUUCCCGCUCAGGGAACUUCAUAUCUGCUGAAGAAAUUUUCAAAACAAUGAUCCACAGGGAUGCAGUAUCUUAUAACUCACUGAUCUCUGGGCUAGCUCAGCAUGGGUUUAGUGAUAGAGCAUUGGAAUUGUUCAAAAGAAUGCAGAUUGAUUGUUUGGAACCAGACUGUGUUACAAUUGCUAGUCUUUUGAGUGCCUGCGCAGAUAUUGGUGCUCUGCAUAAGGGAACACAACUCCACUCACUUGCAAUAAAAGCGGGAAUGUCAUCAGAUAUCAUCCUUGAAGGCUCUCUGCUUGAUCUUUAUGUGAAAUGCUCUGAUGUGCAAACUGCCUAUGAGUUUUUCCUUACUACAGAGACAGAAAAUGUUGUCCUGUGGAAUGUGAUGUUAGUUGCUUAUGGUCAGCUAGAUGAUCUUAAUGAAUCAUUUCAUAUUUUUAGGCAAAUGCAUAUUGAGGGCAUGAUUCCUAAUCAGUACACCUACCCUAGUAUUCUGAGAACCUGUACCUCUGUCGGGGCUCUCAAUUUAGGAGAACAAAUACAUACUCAAGUCAUAAAAACUGGUUUUCAUUUAAAUGUUUAUGUCUGCAGUGUGCUUAUUGAUAUGUAUGCUAAGCAUGGGGAAUUGGAUACUGCCCUGAAAAUUCUCAGUAGACUCACUGAGGAUGAUGUUGUGUCUUGGACUGCUAUGAUCGCAGGGUAUGCACAGCAUGAUUUAUUUUCGGAAUCUCUUAUACUUUUUGAAGAAAUGCAAAAGAGAGGAAUUCGAUCUGACAACAUAGGAUUUUCAAGUGCAAUAAGUGCAUGUGCUGGUAUUCAAGCACUCAAUCAAGGAAGACAAAUUCAUGCUCAGUCGUGUGUCUCUGGUUGUUCAGAUGACCUGUCAGUCGGAAAUGCACUUGUUACCCUGUAUGCCAGAUGUGGUAGAAUAUGGGAAGCAUACCAUGCAUUUGAGGCAAUUGAUGCUAAAGAUAAUAUAUCAUGGAAUGGAUUGAUAUCUGGGUUUGCACAGAGUGGGUACUUUGAGGAAGCACUGCAGGUAUUUAAUCGGAUGAAUAAAGCUGGAGUAGAAGCUAAUUUGUUCACAUUUGGCUCUGCAAUUAGUGCUGCUGCUAAUUUAGCAAAUAUAAAACAAGGAGAGCAGAUCCAUGCUGCAAUUAUAAAAACUGGGAAGAAUUCCGAAACUGAGGUUUCCAAUGCUUUAAUCACAUUGUACUCGAAGUGUGGUAGCAUUAAUGAUGCCAAUAAAGAGUUUUCUGAAAUGCCUGAAAAGAAUGAGAUUUCUUGGAAUGCCAUGAUUACUGGCUAUUCUCAACAUGGGCGCGGUGUUGAAUCAAUACAUCUAUUUGAGGAGAUGAAACAACUUGGUGUAGUGCCAAGCCACGUCACAUUUGUGGGAGUACUUUCAGCCUGUAGCCAUGUAGGCUUGGUAGAUGAAGGGCUUGGUUACUUCGAAUCCAUGAGCAAAGAGCACGGGUUAGUGCCUAAGCCUGAACAUUAUGCUUGUGUUGUUGAUCUUCUAGGGCGAGCUGGUUCUUUGAGCUCUGCAAGAAAAUUUAUAAAGGAGAUGCCAAUGAAACCAGAUGCAAUGAUUUGGAGGACGCUCUUAAGUGCAUGUAUAACUCAUAAGAACACAGAAAUUGGAGAGUUUGCUGCCCAUCAUCUUCUAGAACUGGAACCUGAAGACUCAGCAACUUACGUUCUCCUAUCAAAUAUGUAUGCAGUAGCAGGAAUGUGGGGUUGUAGGGAUCAGACGAGGCAAUUAAUGAAGGAAAGGGGUGUGAAGAAAGAGCCUGGUCGUAGCUGGAUUGAGGUAAAAAACUCAGUUCAUGCAUUCUUUGUUGGUGACAAACUGCACCCACUUGCAGAUAAGAUUUAUGAAUUCUUAGGGGAUUUGAAUGAGCGGGCAGCUGAAAUUGGUUAUGUUGAAGACCGUUACAACCUUUGGAAUGAAAUAGAGCAGCAGCAGAAAGAUCCAACAGAGUAUAUUCACAGUGAGAAAUUGGCAAUCUCUUUUGGCCUACUCAGCUUAUCUAAUACGAUCCCUAUACGUGUAAUUAAGAAUCUUCGUGUUUGUAAUGAUUGCCAUAAUUGGAUCAAGUACAUGUCAAAGAUUUCAGAUCGAACUAUCAUAGUACGGGAUGCUUAUCGUUUUCAUCAUUUCAAAGAUGGUGUUUGUUCUUGUAGAGAUUACUGGUAAGAUUGUCAAAAGCUUACCGGAAUCCAUGUUUCCAUCGAGGAUUUCAAAUCACUUUAUUGUCCUAUGAUUGAGUCGAUUCAAGUUUCCUCUAAUAGAAGACCAUGACAAACAAAAACAAAGCUUGUCAUGUGAACUAGCUUGGAUAUUUGGACCAGUUCAAAUUUCCGUGACCAAUUUCUGCCAGCUACUGCCGCUUUUUGGAAUUUGAAUUUUUAAGGACUUGGUGACAAUUGUUGAUGCUCACUCCAGGAGAUGACUGUCUUACUUAAGCCCUGGAAAAGGGUAAAGAAAAGAAGUAAGCUUGGACCAAGGGCCUGCCACCUGCAGCAUCCUGGAACAGAAACACUUGGAGACCAGCCAGAGGCUGAUGGUGGAUUUGAAGUUGUAUCGUGAUUGAGGCUAACAUUCACAAACCAAUUGGUGCGGAAGGCCCUGCGAGAAUAUCAUAUCUACAGUUUACUUGGUUGCAGGCUGGAUCUCAGGCAAAUUGCGUUGGAAG